AUACUUACCUGGCACAAAGGUUAACCGUGAACACUAAGGCGGUUCCUUCAGGGUGAGGCCUGUCCAUUGCACUUCGGGCGGGCUGACCUCUGCGAGUAUCCCUAAUGUGGAUACCUCGGGUGCACAAUUUUUGAUAGUCGGGACUGCGUACGCGCGGUCCCGG
rnacentral:snRNA from 1 species